rnacentral:rRNA from 1 species
CCUACGGGAGGCAGCAGUGAGGAAUAUUGGUCAAUGCGCGCGAGCCUGAAGCAGCCAAGCCGCGUGAAGGAUGACUGCCCUACGGGUUUUAAACUCUUUCUACAAAGGAAUAAAGUGCAGUACGUGUGCCUUUUUGUAUGUACUUUAUGAAUAAGGAUCGGCUAACCCCGGGCCAGCAGCCGCGGUAAUACGGAGGAUCCGAGCGUUAGCUGGAUUUAUUGGGUUUAAAGGGACCGUAGAUGGGUUGUUAAGUCAGUUGUGAAAGUUUGCGGCUCAACCGUAAAAAUGCAAUUGAUACUGGCAGUCUAGAGUACAGGUGAGGUAGGCGGAAUUCGUGGUGUAGCGGUGAAAUGCUUAGAUAUCACGAAGAACUCCGGUUGCGAAGGCAGCUUACUAAACUGCCACUGACAUUGAUGCUCGAAAGUGUGGGUAUCAAACAGGAUUAGAUACCCUGGUAGUC